CGGCGGUGGAGGAGGAGGAGCUGAGUCGUCUAGUGAAGAUCUGAAUCUGUACGGACAAUCAAGCGGAGAAGGAGCUGGU
rnacentral:sRNA from 1 species